rnacentral:lncRNA from 1 species
UGCACCACACGCACCACACCACACACACACACAUACACACACACGAGCAGAGCAAGGGACAGCCAUGUUGUGUGAUCUGGGAGGGUGGCUCAUCCUCUCUGAGUUGUUUAUAAACCGGGCGGGACCCAGGCCUGCCAAUCAAAGGCCUGAUCUGAAUGCUCUUAUUGGUUCAGAGAUGGACAUGUGACCCUCUCUUGGCCAAUCAGAGGCUUUCCUGCUGGAAGGGCUGCUGGAAGCCAUCUUCGCACGGUUCUUCCCUUGGCUUUAGAGCCCCGAAGCGCUCUUUGACUUGAGCUGCUUUGCAUUCUCUCUGUCCUGCCAUCGAGAAAGUUCUGAGCGGCUCAGAAGUAAUACUGACACUAUCAACGGAGGGGGACUGCAGUUUCGCUGGUGGCCCCACAGCCCCCUGCCUCCAGCCAGGGGACAAAGAACAGGAGGGAUCCAGAGCUAUCCCUCCGAGGAAUUCUGCCCCAGACAGCAGAGAGAUGGGGGGCAGGGGACACAUGGCCAUGAGGACAGAGAGCCCUGAGAGGGACUGGGGAAUCGAGACAUCGUUUUCAAAUAAUUGCAGCAAUCAAGAGAGACUGUACAUCCCAUCCCAGACAAAGGGAGACCUAAAAUGAGAGAAUGGAGCUGGGCGCAGUGGUUCACGCCUG